rnacentral:rRNA from 1 species
GAUGAACGCUGGCGGCGUGCCUAAUACAUGCAAGUCGAGCGAACAGACCAGGAGCUUGCUCCUCUGACGUUAGCGGCGGACGGGAGAGUCACACGUGGAUAACCUACCUAUCAGACUGGGAUAACUACGGGAAACCGGAUCUAAUACCGGAUAAUAUAUUGCACCGCGUUGUUCAAUAGUGAGAGUCGGUUUUUCGGUCACUUAUAGCUGGAUCCGCGCCGGAUUAGCUAGUUGGUAAGGUAACGGGUUACCAAGGCUACGAUGCGUAGCCGACCUGAGAGGGGGGUCGGCCACCUGGGAACUGAGCCAGGGUCCAGACUCCUGCGGGAGGCAGCAGUAGGGAAUCUUCCGCAAUGGGGGAGAGCCUGACGGAGCAACGCCGCGUGAGGGAUGAAGGUGUUCGGACCGGAAAGCUCUGUUAUUAGUUGAGAACAAAUGUGUAAGUACCCGUGCAGGUAUUGACGGUACCGGAUCAAAAAGCCACGGCUAACUACGUG